UGCUAAUGUCAAUAAAAAAUGGUCUAAUAGUACACAAAUCUCAUUGUAAAAAUGUGUCCCAGUACUGAAGGGAUUAAGGACCAUUCAUAGAAGCAAUCUGCAGACUAAAGCCGUGUCCACACUAUCGAGCAUGCUCGACGGGCAAACAGUGAUACCAGAUCCUGUUCCAAUACAUAAGCAAGGAGGGUGAGUGGCAGGCACGAAGGUGACGUCAGAAGUGAGGAGACUGGGCAAACGAGCAGUGUUCGGCAUGGUGAGACAGGUCCUGCACCCCACUCUUCAGCAGGGUCAGAGUGAAACUGAUCCAUGAACCUGUAUUUGACACCACUCAUCAGUUUACAACUUAGCCCGCCAGUCUGCCCGGUGGAGUAGAUAUUCUGGGCUAAACUACAUCUGGUAGCACUGUUUGUUGCCAGAUCCCUGCCUGUGGUUUUCCUGCUUCUGACGUCAUCAACCCUCAUUCUCACUACCUAUUGUGACCUGGUAUCACUGUUUGCCCGUCGAGCAUGCUCGAAAGUGAAGACUGGCCAUUAAUCUUGACCACCAUAGACCCUUGCUAAUGUCAAUAAAAUGGUCUAAUAGUACACAAACCUCAAUGUAAAAAUGUUUCUAGUACUGAAGGGAUUAAGGACCAUUAAUAGAAGCAAUCUGCAGACAAGGAUACACUCUUGAUACACCCCUGACACCCUGACACACCCUCACCUCACUCACAAAUACCUAAAAACUUAACAUCCCCUU